rnacentral:other from 1 species
CCAUCCCUGGGGUGUUCGAUAGUUGGUGUAGUUCCUCGAGCCGAUUCUUCCCAAUAUGGGUGCUGUUUUGUGAUUAUUGUGUGCAUGUCCGUUUACGGAAAGCCUAAUGUAGUUCAGUAGCUCCCUCCUUGAACCUUCGGGUUCAGGACCAAAGCCGAUACCGGCACUUUUGGGGACCUU